rnacentral:rRNA from 1 species
AGUAAUGCCUCAGUACGGCGAGUGAGCGGCAAGAGCUCAAAUUUGAAAGCUGGCUCCUUCGGGGUCCGCAUUGUAAUUUGCAGAGGAUGUUUCGGGAGCAGCCCCCAUCUAAGUGUCCUGGAACGGACCGUCAUAGAGGGUGAGAAUCCCGUAUGGGAUGGGGUGUCUGCGCCCAUGUGAAACUCCUUCGACGAGUCGAGUUGUUUGGGAAUGCAGCUCUAAAUGGGUGGUAAAUUUCAUCUAAAGCUAAAUAUUGGCCGGAGACCGAUAGCGCACAAGUAGAGUGAUCGAAAGAUGAAAAGCACUUUGAAAAGAGAGUUAAAAAGCACGUGAAAUUGUUGAAAGGGAAGCGCUUGCGAUCAGACUCGCCUUGGGGGUUCAGCCGGCAUUCGUGCCGGUGUACUUCCCCCAGGGCGGGCCAGCGUCGGUUUGGGUGGCCGGUCAAAGGCCCUUGGAAUGUAACGCCUCUCGGGGCGUCUUAUAGCCAAGGGUGCCAUGCGGCCUACCUGGACCGAGGAACGCGCUUCGGCUCGGACGCUGGCAUAAUGGUCGUAAGCGACCCGUCUUGA